CUGCAUCCACUGAAGCCCAGACCUGCUGCCUGCAGGACCUCACCCAGGCACCAGGUCGUGCCUGGCGCCUCCUUGAUGCCAGGCCCUGGGGAGACCUGUGGCCACAGAACCCAUGUUCUCCCUAGAGGUGGACAGGAGGCCCCUCUCCUACGCAGAAGCUGUCGUUUUUUCUUCUUAAACACCGUUUGCCCCUCCCUCCACCCACCGAGCCAUCUCUGCCCCUCUCUACAGCAAAGCUUCUGCCAAGCCGGCCCUGCUCCCUGUCUACCUCUCCUGCCACCACCCACUCACACGUUUUAAAUACAAGCCGUCGGUUCUCA
rnacentral:antisense_RNA from 1 species